rnacentral:tRNA from 1 species
GCCCGUGUAGCUCAGAUGGCCAGAGCAACCGCCUUGUAAGCGGUAGGUCGUGGGUUCGAAUCCCACCUCGGGCU